GACGAACGCUGGCGGCGUGGAUUAGGCAUGCAAGUCGAACGGUAUCAUCCUUUCGGGGGUGAGAGAGUGGCGAACUGGUGAGUAACACGUAGGUUAUCUACCCUCAAGACGGGGACAACCCAGGGAAACUUGGGCUAAUACCGGAUGUGAGCAACUUUUAGUUGUUUGAAAGGUGGCGUAAGCUGUCGCUUGGGGAUGAGCCUGCGUCCUAUUAGUUAGUUGGUGAGGUAACGGCUCACCUAGGCAAUGAUAGGUAGGCGGCCUUAACGGGUGGUCGCCCACACUGGGAUUGAGAUACGGCCCAGACUCCUACGGGAGGCAGCAGUCGAGAAUAGUCUACAAUGGACGGAAGUCUGAUAGUGCGACGCCGCGUGAACGAAGAAUCCCUUCGGGGUGUAAAGUUCUUUUAUACGUGAGCAGUGCCCUUUAUAUGAAUAGUAUAGAGGGAGGGAUUAAGCGUAUGAAUAAGCAACGGCUAACUCCGUGCCAGCAGCCGCGGUAAUCUAGUCCUACG
rnacentral:rRNA from 1 species